rnacentral:rRNA from 1 species
GACGAACGCUGGCGGCGUGCUUAACACAUGCAAGUCGAACGGAAAGGCCCUGCUUUUGUUGGGUGCUCGAGUGGCGAACGGGUGAGUAACACGUGAGUAACCUGCCCUUGACUUUGGGAUAACUUCAGGAAACUGGGGCUAAUACCGGAUAGGAGCUCCUGCUGCAUGGUGGGGGUUGGAAAGUUUCGGCGGUUGGGGAUGGACUCGCGGCUUAUCAGCUUGUUGGUGGGGUAGUGGCUUACCAAGGCUUUGACGGGUAGCCGGCCUGAGAGGGUGACCGGCCACAUUGGGACUGAGAUACGGCCCAGACUCCUACGGGAGGCAGCAGUGGGGAAUAUUGCACAAUGGGCGGAAGCCUGAUGCAGCAACGCCGCGUGCGGGAUGACGGCCUUCGGGUUGUAAACCGCUUUCGCCUGUGACGAAGCGUGAGUGACGGUAAUUGGUAAAGAAGCACCGGCUAACUACGUG